UAUCAUUGUGUACAAUCAGAUGUUACAAAUACACAAUAUGUUUCACUGUGCUUUUGCCUGCCGAAGUGUUAAAAAAGAUCAAAUCAUUGUGCCAGUUAACCUUCGCAUUACGUUAAGGAUGCGCAGUUUAUUUAUGCAGUACAACAAGAACCUGCACGCGGAUGACAUCAAAGUACUGCGAGAGGGACUCGAAUGAUCAUGGGCAAGAUUCUGAUUUCAAAUCGCUCUCGCGGUAUUUUAACGUCAUCCGUUUGUCAGUUCCUCCAACGCAGCAUUACGUCGAACACCUUGUCAAAAAUGAUUGAGAUAGCCAAUCAAAUCAAAAAAGGCGAGUGCCACUGGCCAAUCACAUAACAGAAGAUGAGCUUUCCUGUUAACGCAAGCCGAGCGGCGGCCAAUCAAAUUAACCAAUAGGCGGGGUUAACCCCAGGAGCAGCAGUUACACCGCGUCAAUCAAUCAUAACGGACAGACACAGAUUACAAAGGCAGCAGGAUGAGAGUUAACUAAGCACAAGCAGGUUUCAUUAAAGGCCGGAACAGAGCAGACAGAAAAGGUCUCCCGCUGCCCUGCCGCCUCUGAGUACUUGUCAUCUCUCUCACUGCCGCAGCUCCGGCUGCCUCGCUGCCAGAAGCGCUGUCCAGCGUACCCACACGGGGCUGUUUCUCAAUUCCAAGAACGCAAAGAACGGACUUGUGUUCUCGUGGAGACUGGUCUUGCCAGGCGACCUUGGAAGAACGAACUCAGAAGGUUGCGAGAACACAGAACGCACCUGUGAGAAUUGAGAUGUGUGCGACCUUCCUGCUGGUCACGUGACCUCCCCAGAUUUCAGCACGCAAGUCUGCACCCGAUGCAUCCUCGAUAUUAAGAACUCAUCCGGGUAUUUUCAUGCGUCCUCUGUACUUGUGUUCUUGAGAAUUGGAAUUGAACUUCGACUGUUAAUGAUGACGUAGAGCGAGGACACAAGGUCGCAAGAUCGCUGAAGAACGCAUAUUGAGAAACAGCCGGGGUCUUCAGCCGCGGUCCAGCUCGACUGGUUAAAUUCUAUGCGGCAUUUCAGUUAUUUCUCCCUGUCAUCGCGCAGUGGAUACUCCACCCUGUAACCAUACCGUGGAUUUGUCCCCCUGUCUCCAAGCAGCGGAUUUCUCUCUGACAUUUUCCUUAUUAUUCACCCAAGCUCUGCCUUGUGGAUGACUGUCAUCUUUAUAAAUUGUUUUUCUGCAAGUGGAUCCUGUUUCUGUCUCCUUCUCUGCCCUGACAGGAAAACACAGAAUUUUAGAAAAAAUUUAAUUUGGGGAAAAAACUAUAGGGCCAUAGGUGUGCUAAAACCUGACUCCAAUUGGCUUUUUUGAGGUCUUUAAGGCCUAGUCCACACGAACACGGGUAUUUUUAUAACCGUGAGUUUUUUCACGCGGUUUGGCCGUUCGUCGAACAUGAAACCGCAGUAUCAGGGCACUGAAACCGAGCAUAUUUGAAAACCCCGGCCAGGGUGAGCUUUUUAAGAAACCCCGGUUACAGUGGUGUCGUGUAGAGAGUAAAACCGGGGGUUUUGCCUUGCGACGUCAGAGUGUGCGCCGUUAUCCACUGUGUUUGACGUCAAGAUUGUGCGCCG